GAUGAACGCUGGCGGCGUGCCUAAUACAUGCAAGUCGAGCGAACGGACGAGAAGCUUGCUUCUCUGAUGUUAGCGGCGGACGGGUGAGUAACACGUGGAUAACCUACCUAUAAGACUGGGAUAACUUCGGGAAACCGGAGCUAAUACCGGAUAAUAUUUUGAACCGCAUGGUUCAAAAGUGAAAGACGGUCUUGCUGUCACUUAUAGAUGGAUCCGCGCUGCAUUAGCUAGUUGGUAAGGUAACGGCUUACCAAGGCAACGAUGCAUAGCCGACCUGAGAGGGUGAUCGGCCACCCGGGAACGGAGCCACGGUCCAGACUCCUACGGGAGGCAGCAGUAGGGAAUCUUCCGCAAUGGGCGAAAGCCUGACGGAGCAACGCCGCGUGAGUGAUGAAGGUCUUCGGAUCGUAAAACUCUGUUAUUAGGGAAGAACAUAUGUGUAAGUAACUGUGCACAUCUUGACGGUACCUAAUCAGAAAGCCACGGCUAACUACGUG
rnacentral:rRNA from 1 species